rnacentral:rRNA from 1 species
UACGUAGGGUGCAAGCGUUAAUCGGAAUUACUGGGCGUAAAGCGUGCGCAGGCGGCUUUGCAAGACAGACGUGAAAUCCCUCAGCUUAACUGGGGAACUGCGUCUGAGACUGGAUGGCUCGAGUGCAGGAGAGGAACGCGGAAUUCCAGGUGUAGCGGUGAAAUGCGUAGAUAUCUGGAGGAACACCGGUGGCGAAGGCGGCGUUCUGGACUGCAACUGACACUGAGAGACGAAAGCCAGGGGAGCAAACGGG